AUCGUUGUUUAGGACAUUGGACUUGUAUAAUUGUUCUGAAUCGGCGUUUAUGAUAGUCGGCUUGUUGAGCGAGUUGUGGAUUUUAUGCGUUAAAUCAUAUAAACAGUCAACUUUCCUCUCAACUGUUAAGUCAUUUUCAGGUACUGAAUCAACUGUUAAUAUUACAUUUAAAUUUUCUGUAGUGCAAUCAUGUAAGUCGUUACUAACCUCAUUGUUGUUAACAAGAUUGGUAGGCUCAUUAGGUACACUUGGGCAAGUGUCUUUUGUGUUGCAAGGAUUCAGAUUACCAUAUUUAUCCGCUUCAAAUGUUGGCGCUUUCGAAGUUGCACUACAAUGAUUUGUCUCUUUCCAGUUCGCAAAAUCCCGAAAUUGUGUAAUCAUCGACGCGAGUUGUGCAACAGACCCCGAUAGCGCUUGAAUCGCUUCUCCACUGAUCAACUGUUCCUGUUUAAGAGUUUCAAUCCCCUCACAAGUACAUGAUGAUUGCACGCUUGAUCGCCUCGAGAGAGGCGUUUCUGAGCUGUCUUCGUCUUGCCCACAUAUAAUUUUACACAACUUUCCCACAAUAUCGUUUGCUCUCUUCCAUUCGAUACUCAGCAAGUUCUUAUUCUUUCGCCAAAUUAUCGUCGCUUCAACUCCAGUGAAUAUAGCUUUUUAUCUCCUCCAGGCUGCGACCAAACGCCUUCCAGCUGCAGAUCGUCGCUUACAAAAUUAUUCAGUGAUUGAUAAUCACCAGUGCAUGCUAAGCUAAGCUUUUCACCAAAUAAUAUCGCCAUAACCUUAUUCGCGUUCAAAGAUUAUGCGUUCAAAAACUAACCAAGUAAAUUAUUGAUUCAUUUAUAGUCUAUAUACUUUCUUAAUAACUAAAGUUGAGGAGCCCAAAAAUAGACAUCCUCCUC